rnacentral:rRNA from 1 species
AACGAACGCUGGCGGCAUGCCUAACACAUGCAAGUCGAACGAGACCUUCGGGUCUAGUGGCGCACGGGUGCGUAACGCGUGGGAACCUGCCCUUAGGUUCGGAAUAACUCCCCGAAAGGGGUGCUAAUACCGGAUAAUGUCUUCGGACCAAAGAUUUAUCGCCUUUGGAUGGGCCCGCGUUGGAUUAGCUAGUUGGUAGGGUAAAAGCCGACCAAGGAGACGAUCCAUAGCUGGUCUGAGAGGAUGAUAAGCCACACUGGGACUGAGACACGGCCCAGACUCCUACGGGAGGCAGCAGUGGGGAAUAUUGGACAAUGGGCGAAAGCCUGAUCCAGCAAUGCCGCGUGAGUGAUGAAGGCCUUAGGGUUGUAAAGCUCUUUUACCCGGGAUGAUAAUGACAGUACCGGGAGAAUAAGCUCCGGCUAACUCCGUG